rnacentral:rRNA from 1 species
AGUGAACGCUGGCGGCGUGCCUAACACAUGCAAGUCGAACGAGAACGGAUUAAAGCUUGCUUUAAUUGUCAGCUAAGUGGCGCACGGGUGAGUAAUGUAUAGUUAACCUGCCCUCUAGAAAGGAAUAACAGUUGGAAACGACUGCUAAUGCCCUAUAUGCCUUUAAGACAUAAGUCUGCAAGGGAAAUGCUUUUGUGCUAGAGGAUGGGACUGUAUGGUAUCAGAUAGUUGGUGGGGUAAUGGCCUACCAAGUCAAUGACGCCUAACUGGUUUGAGAGGAUGAUCAGUCACACUGGAACUGAGACACGGUCCAGACUCCUACGGGAGGCAGCAGUGGGGAAUAUUGCACAAUGGAGGAAACUCUGAUGCAGCAACGCCGCGUGGAGGAUGACACAUUUCGGUGCGUAAACUCCUUUUAUAUAGGAAGAUAAUGACGGUACUAUAUGAAUAAGCGCCGGCUAACUCCGUGCCAGCAGCCGCGGUGAUACGGAGGGCGCAAGCGUUACUCGGAAUCACUGGGCGUAAAGAGCGUGUAGGCGGAUAAAUAGGUUUGAAGUGAAAUCCUAUAGCUUAACUAUAGAACUGCUUUGAAAACUGUUUAUCUAGAAUAUGGGAGAGGUAGAUGGAAUUUCUGGUGUAGGGGUAAAAUCCGUAGAGAUCAGAAGGAAUACCGAUUGCGAAGGCGAUCUACUGGAACAUUAUUGACGCUGAGACGCGAAAGCGUGGGGAGCAAACAGG